rnacentral:rRNA from 1 species
AUCCGGGCUGCGGACAGUGUCUGGUGGGUAGUUUGACUGGGGCGGUCUCCUCCUAAAGAGUAACGGAGGAGCACGAAGGUCAGCUAAUCACGGUCGGACAUCGUGAGGUUAGUGCAAUGGCAUAAGCUGGCUUGACUGCGAGAGUGACGGCUCGAGCAGGUGCGAAAGCAGGUCAUAGUGAUCCGGUGGUUCUGAAUGGAAGGGCCAUCGCUCAACGGAUAAAAGGUACUCCGGGGAUAACAGGCUGAUACCGCCCAAGAGUUCAUAUCGACGGCGGUGUUUGGCACCUCGAUGUCGGCUCAUCACAUCCUGGGGCUGAAGUAGGUCCCAAGGGUACGGCUGUUCGCCGUUUAAAGUGGUACGCGAGCUGGGUUUAGAACGUCGUGAGACAGUUCGGUCCCUAUCUGCCGUGGGCGCUGGAGAAUUGAGGGGGGUUGCUCCUAGUACGAGAGGACCGGAGUGAACGCACCACUGGUGUUCGGGUUGUCAUGCCAAUGGCAUUGCCCGGUAGCUAAGUGCGGAAAAGAUAAGUGCUGAAAGCAUCUAAGCACGAAACUUGCCCCGAGAUGAGUUCUCCCUGACUCCUUGAGAGUCCUGAAGGGACGUUGAAGACUACGACGUUGAUAGGCCGGGUGUGUAAGCGCAGCGAUGCGUUGAGCUAACCGGUACUAAUGACCCGUGAGGCUUAACCUUACAACGCCAGAGGCGUUU